AGAGUUUGAUCCUGGCUCAGGACGAACGCUGGCGGCGUGUUUAACACAUGCAAGUCGAACGGAACCACAUCGCGGAAGUUUUCGGAUGGAAGCGGCGUGUGUUUAGUGGCGGACGGGUGAGUAACGCGUGAGCAAUUUGCCCUUUGGUGGGGGACAACAACGGGAAACCGUUGCUAAUACCGCAUAAGACAACGGAUGGGCAUCCAUCUGUUGUGAAAGGAUUUAUUCGCCGAAGGAUGAGCUCGCGUCCCAUUAGCUAGUUGGUGAGGUAACGGCCCACCAAGGCGACGAUGGGUAGCCGGACUGAGAGGUUGAUCGGCCACACUGGAACUGAGACACGGUCCAGACUCCUACGGGAGGCAGCAGUGAAGAAUAUUGGGCAAUGGGCGAAAGCCUGACCCAGCAACGCCGCGUGAAGGAAGAAGGUUUUCGGAUUGUAAACUUCUGUCCCAUGGGAAGAAACAAAUGACGGUACCAUGGGAGGAAGCCCCGGCUAACUACGUGCCAGCAGCCGCGGUAAUACGUAGGGGGCAAGCGUUGUCCGGAAUUAUUGGGCGUAAAGGGUGCGUAGGCGGCCCUGCAAGUUGGAUGUGAAAUCCCCGUGCUUAACAUGGGAAUUGCAUUCAAAACUGUGGGGCCUGAGUGUGGAAGAGGUAAGUGGAAUUCCCAGUGUAGCGGUGAAAUGCGUAGAGAUUGGGAGGAACACCAGUGGCGAAGGCGACUUACUGGGCCACAACUGACGCUGAUGCACGAAAGCGUGGGGAGCAACCAGGAUUAGAUACCCUGGUAGUCCACGCUGUAAACGAUGGAUACUAGGUGUAGGGAGGUUACACCCCCCCUGUGCCGCAGCUAACGCAUUAAGUAUCCCGCCUGGGGAGUACGGUCGCAAGAUUGAAACUCAAAGGAAUUGACGGGGGCCCGCACAAGCAGCGGAGCAUGUGGUUUAAUUCGAAGCAACGCGAAGAACCUUACCAAGGCUUGACAUCCCCUGACCGCCGUGGAAACGCGGCUUCCCUUCGGGGCAGGGAGACAGGUGGUGCAUGGUUGUCGUCAGCUCGUGUCGUGAGAUGUUGGGUUAAGUCCCGCAACGAGCGCAACCCUUACACUCAGUUACCAGCGGGUAAUGCCGGGGACUCUGGGAGGACUGCCGGGGACAACUCGGAGGAAGGUGGGGACGACGUCAAAUCAUCAUGCCCCUUAUGUCUUGGGCUACACACGUGCUACAAUGGCCGCUACAGAGAGCAGUGAAACCGCAAGGCGGAGCGAAACUCACAAAAGCGGUCCCAGUUCGGAUUGUGGGCUGCAACCCGCCCGCAUGAAGUCGGAGUUGCUAGUAAUCGCGGAUCAGCAUGCCGCGGUGAAUGCGUUCCCGGGCCUUGUACACACCGCCCGUCACACCACGGAAGUUGGGAGCGCCCGAAGCCGGUGGCUCAACCGCAAGGAGAGAGCCGUCGAAGGUGAGAUCAAUGACUGGGGUGAAGUCGUAACAAGGUA
rnacentral:rRNA from 1 species